rnacentral:sRNA from 1 species
GCAGGCGGGUCCCAGGUUGUAAAUCCAUGUGGCGGGGGCUUUGGACCCUGGCGGCCCAAGCGGCACGUGGGCCUCGCAGGUGGGGCUACAGGGGAAGGGGUGUGACAGCUUCGGGUGCUGCUUGGACCCCGACCCACUCCCUGGGUUUUAGGGGCCCAAUUCCCUGCGGCAGAGCAAACAUUCGCGUUCUUCCGUGCCUCAAUCGUCCAUGACCCUUGCGGCAGAGCCCAUAUCUGGGUCUCCUUCUGGCCUCACAGUCCCUAAUCCGGUCACCCUUCGGCCUUCAGAACAUCCAAUUUGUGCAUCCCCCAGCCGCAGAACACCCCCACCUGGAGCAUCUCGCGAUCAUCGAGCCCUCGGUCUACUUGACACUGAGGCUGAGCCUCCCAGGUGCGCUGAUUCGCCUCCCCUCCGGUUCCAGAUUGUGCACGCGCCGGAGCAGCGGCGCACCAGCCCCCGGCUCCGGCGCCACCAUCUUCGCGCUAAGCUCUGGCCAAGGCCGCUGCGGCAUCGCAGUGAUCCGGACCAGCGGCCCUGCCAGCGGCCACGCCCUCCGAAUUCUCACGGCACCCCGAGACCUGCCCCUUGCUCGCCACGCCAGCCUGCGCCUGCUCAGCGAUCCCCGCUCCGGGGAGCCUCUGGACCGCGCACUGGUGCUCUGGUUCCCAGGUCCCCAGAGUUUCACCGGUGAGGACUGCGUGGAGUUCCACGUUCAUGGAGGCCCGGCAGUGGUGAGCGGCGUCCUGCAGGCCUUGGGCAGCGUGCCAGGGCUUCGACCGGCGGAGGCAGGCGAGUUCACCAGACGGGCGUUCGCCAAUGGGAAGCUGAACCUGACCGAAGUGGAGGGGCUGGCGGACCUUAUCCACGCGGAAACAGAGGCGCAGCGGCGGCAGGCCCUCAGGCAGCUGGACGGAGAGCUAGGCCACCUCUGCCGUGGCUGGGCCGAGACCCUCACCAAAGCUCUGGCCCACGUGGAGGCCUAUAUCGAUUUCGGCGAGGAUGACAACCUGGAGGAGGGGGUCCUGGAGCAAGCCGACAUCAAAGUACGGGCACUGGAGGUGGCCCUGGGUG